UCUGUGCUCGGAAAUGCGAGCGCAAGCACGUAGCGAGCCACGCUAAUCCAAUGCCGAAGGCAGCGAAGGAAGCAGCGCGCGCCGCGAACUUGUGAAGCUCAGCAUUACCGACCGUCGGACAGUGUCUGCAGGAGCGGCAGCAAUAACACUGCUUUAAGUUCGGUUGCGACCACUGACAAAAGUAUCGCUAUAGCAUGAAAGUCGCCUCAACACCGUUCGUUGACCUCCCAAAUCGGGAAAUAUCUGCUAUAAUGGCUUCACAUAUAGUUCGUGGAAGUGUGUCCACUCCACUAAUAGGCAUCAAGGUAACGCAAGUAUCCAUGGCAGGCAGCAAACAAGUGCGGUCGCCGAAGCAAACUGCCGCCUGCUGCUGAGGCCUCUUUUGCACAUUGAUGAACAUACCUUAGCAAACAGCACAAAUAGCGGGACACAGAAAAGUGGCACAUGAUGCAGGCGCUAACAGAAAAAGGGCACAUGUAUGUGUCCGUACCAACAAGCCCGGCUAGCCACUGUUCUGGUGACAUUAAAGAGCAGAAUUUUAUUAUGCUGUGUCAAGGGAAGUCACAAGGGAGUAAAACUAUACUAAAAGAAAGUCAUCACCAGCUCUAAGCAUAGCAUUUCAUGAAAACUUGAACUUUUAAUGUGGCUGAAAAUUUUGGCACUGCAUGCAAUUUCGAGUGCAAAAAAUGCCACCUUUACACAUUAGCUAAAUGUAACAUACAAUUUCAUGGUUAAGAAGUUUAGUAUUGUGUGACUCAUUUCAUUGUUCCUGUGUGAAAGUUAAGUUACUUUUGCAUGUAUUGUUUUGGUUGAAUGUGUAUAACAUAUUUAAAAUUCUUUUUUAUGUAAAUUAAUUUAACCGUCAGUUGGCCUUCAUUCUGUUUUUAUUGAAUGGUAUCUGCGCUGCACCAUACCAUCUAACAGUCAAGACAGCACUAUUGACUGCACAGAGUAGUGUGCAGUCAAUAGGUAGUCUGCAUCUUUUUUCAUUUUUGUUGUUUCCGACCAUAUGAUUUUUUUUUUUUUUUGAGCACCUGUCUUCACUCGGAGGUCGCAUUUGAAGUUUUGUGUAAGCUGUCAUUGUUCAUAUGACAGUCUACCUUUCUCGCUGCAAGGGCAAAAUCUUAGGUGGAUUCAUAGCUGUCAUGAAAUGUGAGCUUGAAGUAAUGUAGAGUUCAUUUAGCUGUAGAGAGACAUCAAUUACAAUAAAUUUAUGACAAGAAACAAGGUUAAAAUAAGGUCCAUUUUGUUUGUUGAAUAGUGAGCUGUCACAUUUCAACUGGUUCCAUUACAUAAGCCAACGCAGCUUAAGGCUUUAAUAGCCAAUGCGCUAGUAUUUUGCUAUUCUAAAUUAAGUAGUCAUUUGUGCUACCUGCAUCAGCUGAUAAGUGUUUUCUGAAUUUCAGAGGUGGCUAGGAAUGGCCCAAUUAGAGCUACUAUGCUGUGACACUCUGUCAAAACAGUGGCAGACUGGCUGAUAACACUGCUGCUUUAGCGUUGUCUGGGCCUCAAAGAAUACUAGAAACCAUUGAGCCUGCCAACUCUGUGUUAGCAGCUGCAUCAUUCCCUGAGGUGGCACAAAAAAGGAAGUUCCGUAGCUGUGAUAUCAUCGACCAACUUUCUACGUGCGAGUCCCACUUGUCCGUAGAAGAUUGUAACAGAGUAUUCCAGGGUGAAAAUCAAGUCUUUCCGGUCAGCA